CACUGGCGAGGGGGGUCCCUCAGCCUGGAUUGUAAGAGGGCACAGGACAGGCUGAGGGACCCCACUGGUGCACU
rnacentral:pre_miRNA from 1 species